UGGGGAAUAUUGCACAAUGGGCGCAAGCCUGAUGCAGCAACGCCGCGUGAACGAUGAAGGUCUUCGGAUCGUAAAGUUCUGUUGCAGGGGAAGAUAAUGACGGUACCCUGUGAGGAAGCCCCGGCUAACUACGUGCCAGCAGCCGCGGUAAUACGUAGGGGGCUAGCGUUAUCCGGAUUUACUGGGCGUAAAGGGUGCGUAGGUGGUCUUUCAAGUCGGUGGUUAAAGGCUACGGCUCAACCGUAGUUAGCCUCCGAAACUGGAAGACUUGAGUGCAGGAGAGGAAAGUGGAAUUCCCAGUGUAGCGGUGAAAUGCGUAGAUAUUGGGAGGAACACCAGUAGCGAAGGCGGCUUUCUGGACUGCAACUGACACUGGGGCACGAAAGCGUGUGUAGCAAACAGG
rnacentral:rRNA from 1 species